GACGAAGGGGGCUAGCGUUGUUCGGAAUUACUGGCGUAAAGCGCGUGUAGGCGGUUGCCAAAGUCGGGUGUGAAAGCCUUGAGCUUAACUCAAGAAAUGCACUCGAUACUUGGUGACUAGAGGACCGGAGAGGAUAGUGGAAUUCCCAGUGUAGUGGUGAAAUACGUAGAGAUUGGGAAGAACACCAGUGGCGAAGGCGGUUCUCUGGGCAUGUCCUGACGCUGAGGAGCGAAAGUGUGGGAGCGGAACAGG
rnacentral:rRNA from 1 species